rnacentral:rRNA from 1 species
UGCCAGCAGCCGCGGUAAUACGAAGGGGGCUAGCGUUGUUCGGAUUUACUGGGCGUAAAGAGCGCGUAGGCGGUUUGAUAAGUUGGAAGUGAAAUCCCAGGGCUUAACCCUGGAACUGCUUUCAAAACUGUCAAGCUAGAGUAUGGUAGAGGGUGAUGGAAUUCCUAGUGUAGAGGUGAAAUUCUUAGAUAUUAGGAGGAACACCGGUGGCGAAGGCGGUCACCUGGGCCAUUACUGACGCUGUGGCGCGAAAGCGUGGGGAGCAAACAGGAUUAGAUA